CUAAUCUGUUAAGUUUGUAGGGCUGGUUAGUAGAUUAAAGUUAGGGUAAGAAUUCUCUAAUUUUUUAGGGGACGAUAAGACCCUAGAAGCUUGACGAAUAGUAUGGUUUUUGUUUUAUUUGUCUGUUUGUUUUACUGGGGCGGUAAUAAUAAUUAAGCUAUUUGAUAUUUAAAAGAUCCUUAAAAUAAAGAAAAAAUGGUAAAGUUACUCUAGGGGUAACAGUGCGAUAUUUUUGGAGAGAUCUUAUUGAUAAGUAUGUUUGCAACCUCGAUGUUGAAUUAAAAUGUCUUUAUGAAGCAUAAAGUAUAGAAGAAGGUUUGUUCAACCUUUAAAUUUUUACAUGA
rnacentral:rRNA from 1 species